rnacentral:rRNA from 1 species
UACAGAGACCUCAAGCAUUAUCCGGAUUUAUUGGGCGUAAAGGGUCCGCAGGUGGUCGUUCACGUCGGUGGUCAAAUCUUCGGGCUCAACCCGGGGACUGCCAUCGAUACGGUUCGACUCGAGGCCGGGAGAGGUAAGCGGAAUUGCCGGUGUAGUAGUAAUAUGCGUUGAUAUCGGCAAGAACACCAAAUGCGAAGGCAGCUUACUGGAACGGUUCUGACACUCAGGGACGAAAGCGUGGGGAGCAAAAGGG